GUCCGGUACAACAUAAAGCCGUGGUCCUGGGUGUGGAAGAGUUAAGUACUUAAGAUGAACUGAGAGAUCCUCACCAAUGGCCCAUGGGGUUCAUAUUUCCGAAGCAGGGCAAAGAUUUCGGUCAUGUUGUCAGCUGCAGAGAGGAGGCAAAAGGUGAACGAUAAACAUAGAAGAGGUGCCCCUUCCCCAGACUCCACUCCUAACCCUUGCUCAGGAGACCUGGGCCAAAAUCUACAGUGGUAUAGAGUCCCUGGAGGGAGCCACAUUUGAGUCCUUCAGGCCCAUCUGUGGUGAAGAGCAAGAUCCUGUCUCCUAGUAGCGCACGGAAGAGCCCAGCCAAGUGUCUCAUGUAGGUGAAGUCACAGGCUUUGUAGCUACCAUAUUCGUUCUCCACCUGCCAAGGAAAAGGAAAAGUGGAGCUUGGCCAUGCGGUGGGGGUUAGGACCCCUGGCUCCUCCUUCCCCUUACCCAGUCAAUUUGUACCCAGUCACUUGUACCUGAAUGCUAAUGAUGUUGCCCCCAUUGUGGUAGAGCCAUGGAUAUAACUUGGGCAGCAAGACCUUGAACCAGGAGUCCACUGCGGCAAGAAAGUCUAAAGGAAGGAGCAGUGCUCUGCUCAUUAGGACACCACCGCCUCCAUAGCCCCCACCCCUAGUAUCUAUGCCAGCAACUUCAGUGAUGCCUGAACCCUGGGCUGCAGUUGGCAUCCCACUUGUCUGCAAAUAAAUCUGAGAAGCAGUGAGUCUGAAACCCUCUUAUGUACUUGUAUGGCAAGGACAUCUGGGCAUAGGAACCCCUGAAGCAGUGUUUCUUGUAAAUUUAGUUUUUAAACGUAAGAAAAAUGUUAAAUGCAUCAUAUGGAGCUAUUAUUAUGUAAUCAGUGUAUACUUGCGAGGGCUGUGAAGUAGCAUGGGAAUUCACAGAAAUGCAGACUCUCUGACCUGCACCCUAAUGUAACUGACGAUCCACGUGAUUUGAGUCAUUAAUUGAAACAUCGCUGUAUUAGGUAUCACGCCUUAGGUAUCAUCCUCAACUCCUGUUUGUGAUUUUUGUUGAUUCACCCUCAGGGUCUUCACUUCACUUCACUCUGCCUGACACUUUCUCCCCACCGUCCUUUAUCCAGCCAACUCCAAUGCAAGCUUAAGAUCUUAACUUAUUUCGCUUCCUCAGGAAAACCUCGGCUAUCCCAGAUGAGGGCAGAUGUCUGUUACACACUCUCACAUCACCUCGUACUUCUUUUUCAAGCAUGUAACAAAUUAUAAUUAAGCAUUUACUUCUAUAAUUGUUUCCCGACCGUCUCUCUCCCCCACCGUGAGCAGGAACCUAGUCUGUCAGGUUCAUUUGCUGCAUCCUAUCGCUGGGGACAAUGCCUAGCAGACAGCAGACUCUCAAAGGUGGAGUCAACAAAAGAUGUGUUGGAGGAUAUUUUUGCAUUAAGACACUGAACCCCUUUACAUUUUGUUUCCUGUAUAAAGGGUGCCCAGGUUUGACCGCCUCCUUUAAUCCAAGCGCAUAUUAAAUCUCAUCCAACAAGUAUUUACGGGUGCUUACUAUACACCAAACAAUGCUCUAGGUGUUAGAGAUACAGAGGACAACAAAAUAGACCAAAAUCUCUGCCCUUGUCGAAUUUCCUUUCCAGUGAGGAAGGCAGACAAUAAAUAGCUAAAAUGUAUCGUGUGUUAAUGCCAACAACAACAAAAUAUAUAUGGAAGAAGGAUAUAUGUGGAA